UCGCACCCGAGCGGACACGUGCGUUCUUCUGAGCAACGCGCAGAACCUUACCAGCUCUUGACAUUCGGGGUAUGGGAAUUGGAGAAAAUGUCCUUCAGAAAGGAUGGCCCCAGAACAGGGGCUGCAUGGCCGUCGUCCGCUCGUGUCGUGAGAUGUUGGGUUAAGUCCCGCAACGAGCGCAACCCUCCCCCUUAGGAGCCAGCAUUUAGUUGGGGACUCUAAGGUGCCUGUCCGAAAUACACCAAGAGAGAGAUGGGGUAGACGUCAAGUCCUCAUGGCCCUAUCGGGCUGGGCUACACACGUGCUACAA
rnacentral:rRNA from 1 species